UAAUACGAAGGGGGCAAGCGUUGUUCGGAUUUACUGGGCGUAAAGCGUACGUAGGCGGAUGAUUAAGUCAGGGGUGAAAUCCCGGGGCUCAACCUCGGAACUGCCUUUGAUACUGGUCGUCUUGAGUCCGGGAGAGGUGAGUGGAACUCCUAGUGUAGAGGUGAAAUUCGUAGAUAUUAGGAAGAACACCAGUGGCGAAGGCGGCUCACUGGCCCGGAACUGACGCUGAGGUACGAAAGCGUGGGGAGCAAACAGGAUUAGAUACCCUGGUAGUCCACGCCGUAAACGAUGGAUGCUAGCCGUCGGGGAGCUUGCUCUUCGGUGGCGCAGCUAACGCAUUAAGCAUCCCGCCUGGGGAGUACGGUCGCAAGAUUAAAACUUAAAUGAAUUGACGG
rnacentral:rRNA from 1 species